rnacentral:rRNA from 1 species
AUUGAACACUGGCGGCAGGCCUAACACAUGCAAGUCGAACGAGUGGCGGACGGGUGAGUAAUGCUUGGGAAUCUGGCUUAUGGAGGGGGAUAACUACGGGAACCUUUAGCUAAUACCGCGUACCAUAGGAUGAGCCCAAGUGGGAUUAGGUAGUUGGUGAGGUAAAGGCUCAACAAGCCGACGAUCUCUAGCGGGUCGGAGAGGAUGACCAGCCACACUGGGGCUGAGAAACGGCCCAGAGGCCUACGGGAGGCAGCAGUGGGGAAUAUUGCGCAAUGGGGGCAACCUGACGCAGCCAUGCCGCGUGAAUGAAGAAGGCCUUCGGGUUGUAAAGUUCUUUCGGUAGCGAGGCGUUAACUACAGAAGAAGCACCGGCUAACUCCGUGCCAGCAGCCGCGGUAAUUC